UGUGUUUUUGAGGAGCUAAUUGGCUGUAUUAAAGUGCUAGUAAGAAACACUCUCCUCCUGUUGGAGGAAUGGCUCAGCUGUUAAAGGCUAGGCUCACAACCAAAAUAUA
ensembl:miRNA